UUUUCAGAGUUAAAUCCCAGGCCAGAUUUGUCAGACUUGUACGGUACAUCGAUCAGUUGACCCCAGCCAGUACGACCACCAUCUUCAACCACGGCUUGAGCAUCUUUCAGAGAAAUCAUGGCAGGAGGAGCACGAAUAACCUUGGGCACAAGGGGAGUCGGCUUAAGGACAGGAUUGGGCGGGUGAACCAUUUCAAAUGAUUGAGUGGGAGUCUCAAAGAAUUCGCCAUCCAUCUCAACGUACCUG
rnacentral:lncRNA from 1 species